GUCGUAAUGGCCCGGCCCUGCCGGUAAAGAGAUAGUCUCAAUCUCGUGGGGAGACCCAUGACAGCUUUUGCAUUAAAUCAGUUAUCGUUUAUAUGAUAAUACCUUACCACUUGGAUAACUGUGGUAAUUCUAGAGCUAAUACAUGCUAAAAACCCCGACUUCGGAAGGGGUGUAUUUAUUAGAUAAAAAACCAAUGCCCUUCGGGGCUCCUUGGUGAUUCAUAAUAACUUAACGAAUCGCAUGGCCUUGCGCCGGCGAUGGUUCAUUCAAAUUUCUGCCCUAUCAACUUUCGAUGGUAGGAUAGUGGCCUACCAUGGUCUUAACGGGUAACGGGGAAUUAGGGUUCGAUUCCGGAGAGGGAGCCUGAGAAACGGCUACCACAUCCAAGGAAGGCAGCAGGCGCGCAAAUUACCCAAUCCCAAUCCGGGGAGGUAGUGACAAUAAAUACUGAUACAGGGCUCUUUCGGGUCUUGUAAUUGGAAUGAGAAAAAUCUAAAUCCCUUAACGAGGAACAAUUGGAGGGCAAGUCUGGUGCCAGCAGCCGCGGUAAUUCCAGCUCCAAUAGCGUAUAUUAAAGUUGUUGCAGUUAAAAAGCUCGUAGUUGAACCUUGGGUCUGGCUGAUCUGUCCUCCUAAUCGAGCGCACGGAUUCGGUCGGAC
rnacentral:rRNA from 1 species